rnacentral:rRNA from 1 species
AUCCUGGCUUAGGACGAACGCUGGCGGCGUGCCUAAUACAUGCAAGUCGAACGGUCUUUCUAUGGAAGCUUGCUUCCACUGAGAAGAUAGUGGCGAACGGGUGAGUAACACGUGGGUAACCUGCCCAUAAGAGGGGGGAUAACGAUCCGGAAACGGGUGCUAAUACCGCAUAGUUUUCUUGGUCGCAUGAUCGGGAAAGGAAAGACGGCCUUUGUGCUGUCGCUUAUGGAUGGACCCGCGGCGUAUUAGUUAGUUGGUGAGGUAAUGGCUCACCAAGACGAUGAUACGUAGCCGACCUGAGAGGGUGAUCGGCCACAUUGGGACUGAGACACGGCCCAAACUCCUACGGGAGGCAGCAGUAGGGAAUCUUCCGCAAUGGACGAAAGUCUGACGGAGCAACGCCGCGUGAGUGAAGAAAAGGUUUUCGGAUCGUAAAACUCUGUUGUCAGAGAAGAACAAGUUGGAGAGUAACUGCUCCAGCCUUGACGGUAUCUGACCAGAAAGCCACGGCUAACUACGUGCCAGCCGCCGC